CUACACUACGCUCUUCAGCUUUGCCCCAUUGGCUCCUCAGCCAAGCACAUACACCAAAUGUCUGAACCUGUGGUUCCUCUGGUACUGAGCAGGAU